AUGUACCCAAGUGGAUCAAGGCA
rnacentral:tRNA from 1 species